rnacentral:lncRNA from 1 species
UCCUAGAUUUCUAUGGUAUAUGGAAUUUAUGGUUUCCUUUGGUGCAAAUCCAAUCAUCUAGAUUGGAAGAAGCAAUUCCCCCAUUGGUAACAAAUGGUUAUCCAUUAAGCGGAGGAAAUAGUAAUAAAAAGAAAAAGGCUUAUGCUCCUUUAUCUUAAAAGAACAGACUAAAGGGUCAGCUACUUAGCCAACUUUCAUAAUUAAAUACCGUCACUGUAUGAAUAAUUCUUAUUGUGAAAAGAGUUAUUUACUCUAUAAUGGAUUGGUAGAGCCAAAGAAUGUGAACUAUACAAGUUCACAAUACCUUUUGAUGAAAUGAAAGAA